UGUGUGUCGUGGAUCUGUUCUUAAUACCUCUGUGGGUAGAUAGAAUUCCUUUUAACCCAUGUUAAAUGUGAAAACUUUAUUCUUCUAGAAUCCCUUCUUAAAUAGUGCUUUGGUCGAAAAAUGGGACCAAUUUAGGAAUUUUCUGUUUCCUCAUAAGUAAUUAGGGAAAAUUCUGUUGAGUUCUGAUCGGAAGGUAAAGUGCGUCCUCCUGUGUGCUUGGCAGGUUUUUAUCGCAUCUCCUCUUGUUCCUACACUUGGACAGCGGUGUCCCUCAGGGUGUCACACAACAGGUCACCCACAAGGUGGCACAGCACCUGACAGGAGCCAGCCAUGGGGACAACGUGAAGCUUCUCAACAGCAUGAUCCAGGCACACAUAUCUGUAAGCACUCAGCCCAAUGAAGUGGGCCCCGUUGCUGUGUUGGAGUUCUGGGUUCAGGCUCUCAUAAGCCAGCAUCUCUGGUACCGAGAACAACCUAUCCUCUUCCUCAUGGACCACUUGUGUAAAGCAGCUUUUCAGCUGAUGCAGGAAGACUGCA
rnacentral:lncRNA from 1 species